rnacentral:rRNA from 1 species
UCCAACCUCCAACAAGCUAGCCCAACUCAAAGUCCAACCACCAUUAUUCAUAAACCCAAAAACCCUAUCAACAGAAGUUAAAUCAUUUUUCCACCCUAGUAUGGGAGACAGAAAAGGAUCAAGGCGCAAUAGAGAAAGUACCGCAAGGGAAAGCUGAAAGAGAAGUGAAAUAACCCAGUGAAGAAACACAAAGUAGACCUUAAUUCCCGUACCUUUUGCAUCAUGAGCUAGUUAGUACUACUUAAGCAAAGAGCCCUUUAGUUUAAGACCCCGAAUCUUAGCGAGCUACUCCAAGACAGCCCAUUAAGGGGCCAACCCGUCUCUGUUGCAAAAGAGUGGGAAGAUCUUCGAGUAGAGGUGACAGACCUACCGAGCCUAGUUAUAGCUGGUUGCCCACAAGAUGAAUAGAAGUUCAGCCUCUUUGAUUAUUUUUUCUCUAGCGGCCAAGCCACAAGACGAUAUGAAGAAUCAUUAGGGAGUUAUUCCAAGGGGGGACAGCCCCUUAGAACAAAGAUACAACUUUUAUAGCAGGUUAAAGAAUAAUAAUCUUAAAGUUAGGUAUUUUGGUGGGCCUAAAAGCAGCCAUCCAUGAAGAAAGCGUUAAAGCUCAAGUACUAGCUCCCUUAUAAUCCAAAGUAAAUUAUCUUACACCGCUCCUAAACAGUGGGCCCUCCCAUGCUCCCAUGGGAAAGAUACUGCUAGUAUGAGUAAUAAGAGGGGAAGCCCCCUCUCCCGACACCUGUGUACAUCAGAACGAACCCCCACUGAAAAUUAACGCCCCCUAAAGAAGAGGGUACUGACAGAUACCUAAAUAAACAAGAAAACCUCUCAAAAAUCAGCGUUAACCCCACACAGGCGUGUCUAAAGGAAAGACUCAAAGGAAAAGAAGGAACUCGGCAAACAAUGGCCUCGCCUGUUUACCAAAAACAUCGCCUCUUGCAACAUAAGUAUAAGAGGUCCCGCCUGCCCUGUGACUUGAUAGUUUAACGGCCGCGGUAUUUUGACCGUGCAAAGGUAGCGUAAUCACUUGUCUUUUAAAUGGAGACCUGUAUGAAUGGCAUAACGAGGGCUAAGCUGUCUCCUUUACCUGGUCAAUGAAAUUAAUCUUCCCGUGCAGAAGCGGGAAUAUGAACAUAAGACGAGAAGACCCUAUGGAGCUUCAGACAAAAGGCAGCCCACACAGAAGCGACUGAAUCAACACGACCACACUAAUGGCCCCUGCCCUCCUGUCUUUGGUUGGGGCGACCACGGAGGACCAAAAAUCCCCCACGAGGAAAGGAUGAUCUUACCCCUUAAAGCUAGAGCGACAGCUCCCACAAACAGAAUUUCUGACCAACAAGACCCGGCAUAGCCGAGCAACGGACCGAGUUACCCUAGGGAUAACAGCGCAAUCCCCUUUCAGAGCCCUUAUCGACAAGGGGGUUUACGACCUCGAUGUUGGAUCAGGACAUCCUAAUGGUGCAGCCGCUAUUAAGGGUUC